UGUGAUUUCUGCCCAGUGCUCUGAAUGUCAACGUGAAGAGAUUCAUCAAAGCGCGGGUAAACGGCGGGAGUAACUAUGACUCUCUUGUCUCCUAUGGCAUGCACGCCUUGGAUUUCGGGGUGAGAGCAGAUGGUUACUUGCUUGCGCAAAGCCGAACUCCCACCUGCACGUGGUGCCCGCCGCAGGACUAGUGAGCCUAAAGGGGGUGCAUCCCUGGCGAACUCGUUCUCAACGGGAGCUCUCGCACCCUUCUGGGGGGGGGGACGAACCUGCCCCCUCCGCCGGCUUGGCGAAUUCGAGAAAUUACUUUGAGAAAACCCUGACUGAGUGGUCGGGGUUCCAAGUCUGGGGUCCGGGCCGUCUGCCCGUAUGACGCCAAAACUGCCCCAAGCUGGAUUGGCGCUUGGCUGAUGCCUAUGCGAGUCCUGUCAUACGAUACGACAAUCGGUGAGGGCCUUUGUCUUCUUGCUUGAGCCCUGUGCAGCGGCCAGGCUCUGUUACCCGUGUUCCUCGGAGCACGGGGUUGUUCGGGUCCCUCUGCCCAACCAUCUUCAGAGAGACAAUCCUAUGCUUCUCUUCUAGCUUCCGGGAGUAACGGCAGCAGGGCCUGGCAUUGCCCUGCCUACCCGGAAGCGGGCUUGCUACCGGCUUUUCUUGUUGGGACUAGGCACCCCUAGAGCUGGGCUUGUCCUGCCUUGCUUCUGGGUGGAGUUAAAAACCUGGCCCAUGUAAACAUCUCUUGGGCGGGGGUCCGCUUGGCCUCAUCUGGCCCUGCGGCUCGCGGCACUUUAAGAGAAACAGGCAAAAGCCUAUGGCAUGCACGCCUUGGAUUUCGGGGUGAGAGCAGAUAGUUACUUGCUAAUUGCGCAAAGCCGAACU
rnacentral:ncRNA from 1 species